GAUGAACGCUGGCGGCGUGCUUAAGACAUGCAAGUCGAACGGGGCGCGGGAGCAAUCCCAGUGCCCAGUGGCGAAUGGGUGCGUAACACGUAGGUGACCUACCCGGAAGCGGGGAAUAACUCUCCGAAAGGAGGGCUAAUACCGCAUGCGGUCUUGGGACUUAGACGCCCCAGACCAAAGCGGCUCGCAAGAGCGGGCGACUUCCGGA
rnacentral:rRNA from 1 species